rnacentral:rRNA from 2 species
UACAGAGGUGGCAAGCGUUGUUCGGAAUUACUGGGCGUAAAGGGCGCGUAGGCGGCCUUGUCAGUCAGACGUGAAAUCCCCAGGCUUAACCUGGGAACUGCGUCUGAUACUACAAGGCUGGAGUGCGGGAGAGGGAUGUGGAAUUCCAGGUGUAGCGGUGAAAUGCGUAGAUAUCUGGAGGAACACCGGUGGCGAAGGCGGCAUCCUGGACCGACACUGACGCUGAGGCGCGAAAGCUAGGGGAGCAAACGGG